CCUGAUGUUCCGUCAUCAGUAGCCUACCGGCACAUGCAAGACUGGCAACGGUCCUGUGUGAAGCUGCCGGGACAAUGGAGCUGGGCCUUCGGGCCGUGCUGAAGCCGUGAGGCUGAGGCGUUAUCUGCAAGCAUCAAUGCGGAUACGGCG
rnacentral:ncRNA from 1 species